GACAGAGGUGCCGAGCGUUAGGCGGAAUCACUGGGCUUAAAGCGUGUGUAGGCGGAUCGUUAAGUGCCUUGUGAAAUCCCACGGCUCAACCGUGGAACUGCUUGGCAUACUGGCGGUCUUGAGCCACUUAGGGGCUACCGGAACAAAUGGUGGAGCGGUGAAAUGCGUAGAUAUCGAGAGGAACACCAGUGGCGAAGGCGAGUCCCUGGACAACACCUGACACUGAGGCACGAAAGCUAGGGGAGCAAACAGG
rnacentral:rRNA from 1 species